rnacentral:tRNA from 1 species
UGCCCCAUCGUCUAACGGCAGGACAGCGCACUCUGACUGCGUUAAUCGUGGUUCGAAUCCAUGUGGGGCAG